rnacentral:rRNA from 1 species
UACGAAGGGGCUAGCGUUGUUCGGAAUUACUGGGCGUAAAGCGCGCGCAGGCGGUCUUCCAAGUCAGUGGUGAAAGCCCGGAGCUCAACUCCGGAACUGCCAUUGAAACUGUGAGACUUGAGUACGAGAGAGGUGAGUGGAAUUCCCAGUGUAGAGGUGAAAUUCGUAGAUAUUGGGAAGAACACCGGUGGCGAAGGCGGCUCACUGGCUCGUAACUGACGCUCAGGCGCGACAGCGUGGGGAUCGAAACAGG